rnacentral:lncRNA from 1 species
GGGGAGAGCGGAGAAGGCCGAGGAGCGACGGCGGGGGACCGGCGGGAGACCGGCGGGGGCGGUGGCUGCUGAAGUAAGUAAGUGACUCUUGUGGACCCCGCGACGGCGGCGUCCUUCUCCGGUGGGGACGACCUUCUUGCUUGAGCUCACGCGCAGCGCCCGCCGUUCAAAUCCUUCUUCGGGGAACGUACGGUGGAUGCCUGGCGUUGACCCGUGGAGGGGGAGGGGCGGCUGGAGCGGAGGCUUGGGAGGGUUCUUCUACAUCCCCCGAUCUCAAGGAUGCGCCGCAGAGCAACAGCGCGAUCUCUCCCGGCGGCUCUUGGGGGACUCCGAGGGGGACGGGGAGCAGAGCGGAUUUGGAGUCGCGGCAGGGAGGGGAGCCGUCGAUCAAGCCAGCAGGCUGAAGGUGCAACUGGAGCGUGGAGCAGGACCCCGUGAGUACAAGUCAACUGGCACGAAUCACAUCCGCAUCCUCAUUUAAGUCAGCUUAGGCUUGGUCGUACACUCACGGGUAGUUCGGCGCACAGGAGCUGAAGCCCGCAUCCUACGGCUUCGUGCCGGGGCGGGCGGGCCCCCAGGCGACUGGAAGCACGAGAGGCCUGCCGCCCUUCCCCCUCCGCGCCGGUCCCUCUCGACUGUAAGAGUCGGUCGAUCUACCACGGUGCCUUCAACGACGGCGGCGGCGGCGGCGGCGGUGGGAAUGGAACAGUGAGUGAUCACGCCGCCCUAGAAACUGAACAGAGACGGGAGGGAAAAACGCCGCCUUCCUCCCUCUAUCGGCCUCCCGAAUUCUGGGCGGAAUCUCUCCUCCUCUCUACCCCGCCGCGGAGCCGCGAAGCGACCGGGACAGAGGAGGGAGGUCUGAAACACGUGGGCUCGCGCGGAGAUGCCGAUCGGGGACGGGAAGAGCGCUGCCGAUGCGGGUCGACGGAGAUGGAGAUGUAGGAACCGCCGCCCCGCCCCUGAACUCCGGGCCUUGCAUAUGCGCGUACCUUUGAUUAAUUAAAACGAGAGACGUUCCGUUCACGUUUAAUCCCUCCGUGGUGACGGCGAACCCGUUGCCGGGAGCGGCGGCGGUGGCGCCGUCGCUGUACAGACACAUGCAUACAGAUGGAGCCGCCGCCGUGUCACUGUAGGGCAUGUGGAUACAUAUGCAGGUGUCGCUGGGGCAUUAAUUUAUUAAGCGCCUCCUGUUAUUCCUUGGAUAUUCUUGACUUGGCCGCC